UACAGAGGGUGCUAGCGUUGUUCGGAAUCAUUGGGCGUAAAGGGCGUGUAGGCGGUUUGUUAAGUCAUGUGUGAAAUCCCUCGGCUCAACCGGGGAACGACGCAUGAAACUGGCAGCUAGAGUACCAAAGAGGGGGGUGGAAUUCCCGGGUGUAGCGGUGAAAUGCGUAGAUAUCGGGAGGAACACCUGUGGCGAAAGGCGGCCCCCUGGUUGGAUACUGACGCUGAUACGCGAAAGCGUGGGGAGCAAACAGG
rnacentral:rRNA from 1 species